CCUAUAACCCCAAGAGACAUCUUAUGACAUGGUGAAUUAAUAAACAUGCAGAGAAUUAAAGGAUGGAAAGAGUUUUAAUUGAAUUGGACUCUUCCAAUUCCAACACCCAAAUAAAUAUGGCAUCCCAAAAUAAUUUGGUGUGGAGUUCCUUCCAAGAGAAGGACUCCACCUCUUCUUCCAUGUCCAUAUUAUCCCAAGGCAUCAUCGCAUGGUGCAUAAAAUUAAGGGACAAGUGGAUCAUGUAAAAAAAUUAAGAUAAGUAAAAAAGGACUCCUCUCCUUAACUUCCAAAAUUA
rnacentral:lncRNA from 1 species